rnacentral:rRNA from 1 species
UACGAAGGGGGCUAGCGUUGUUCGGAAUUACUGGGCGUAAAGCGUGCGCUGGCGGCCCUCCUAGUCCGUGGUGAAAGCCCGGAGCUCAACUCCGGAAUUGCCAUUGAAACUGUUUGGCUCGAGUACGAGAGAGGUGAGUGGAAUUCCCAGUGUAGAGGUGAAAUUCGUAGAUAUUGGGAAGAACCCCGGUGGCGAAGUCGGCUCACUGGCUCGUAACUGACGCUCAUGCACGACAGCGUGGGGAUCAAACAGG